ensembl:lncRNA
GUAAAUUUAGACAAGUCUGAAAUACCAGGAAUGCUGAGUUUGACCUGGGCUUUCUUGGAGGCCUCACUGCUAUGUCUGAAAGCAUGUUUAUUGCAUGUGACUGGGAGCCAGGAAAACUAGAUUCCAUUCAUGGCAUUGUACAGACUUCCUGUAUGAAUCCGAGCGAGCCAUUGAAUCCAGCCGUCAGAAAGCUGGCCGGCAUCGUCGUGCUAAUCAGAACUUUCUUUGCUGUCAGUAGCAGUAGGCUGUUCUUCAUCAUUACUCAACAUUAA